AGUGAACGCUGGCGGUAGGCCUAACACAUGCAAGUCGAACGAGUGGCGGACGGGUGAGGAAUACAUCGGAAUCUACUCUGUCGUGGGGGUAACGUAGGGAAACCUACGCUACUACCCCAUACGAUUGAAUGAGCCGAUGUCGGAUUAGCGAGUUGGCGGGGUAAAGGCCAACCAAGGCGACGAUCCGUAGCUGGUCUGAGAGGAGGAUAAGCCACACUGGAACUGAGACACGGUCCAGACUCCUACGGGAGGCAGCAGUGGGGAAUAUUGGACAAUGGGCGCAAGCCUGAUCCAGCCAUACCGCGUGGGUGAAGAAGGCCUUCGGGUUGUAAAGUACUUUCAGCGGGGAGGCGUUACCCGCAGAAGAAGCACCGGCUAACUCCGUGCCAGCCGCCGCGGUAAUUC
rnacentral:rRNA from 1 species